UGAUGAUGAUGUAGACAGUCCUAAAGAAGAGCUUUGAACCUCUUCCAUGCAUGAUAUAAGUUUUCAUCUAUAUUUUUUUAAAGUAUGCAAUCUCACUGUGCAGUCU
rfam:Capsicum annuum cultivar Zunla-1 chromosome 4, whole genome shotgun sequence